ensembl:misc_RNA 7SK 7SK RNA
GGGUAUAAGGGCGACUUGGCUGCAGCACACGGUUGAGUCAGCUGAUCUGGCUGGUUGGGUGGGUGACCUCUUCCCCUCUCAUGUUCCACCUGUAUUCCCCGGAGGCUGGGCACUCAGGGAUGACCAGGCCCCGUAGAAGGGAACCAUUCCUUGGCCAAGGGCGUGCAGGUAGCUGUGCUCCCCCGCUAGAACCUCCGAACAAAUUUUCAAGAUGUGUUACAUACAUGAACUAAUUCCAUGCGUGGAAAGUGAACAUUGUGUAUCGCAAACAUGUACAAAAU